rnacentral:misc_RNA from 1 species
UCUCCGUUGGUGAACCAGCGGAGGGAUCAUUACCGAGUGCAAACUCAUAACCCUUUGUGAACCUAUAUCUGUUGCUUCGGCGGCUCGCUCUCGGGCGAGCCCGCCGGUAAUAUCAGUAUCUCUGUUUGAACCCGACGAUACUUCUGAGUGUUCUUAGCGAACAGUUAAAACUUUUAACAACGGAUCUCUUGGCUCUAGCAUCGAUGAGAACGCAGC